AGGUUAAGUAGAAAAGGGCACACGGUGAAUGCCUUGGCACUAGGAGCCGAUGAAGGACGGGACCAACACCGAUAUGCUCUGGGGAGCUGUAAGUAAGCUAGGAUCCAGAGAUUUCCGAAUGGGGAAACCCCGCAUUUUUAAUCGAAUGUGGCUUGAUCUGUGAAUACAUAGCAGGCAAGCGGUAGACGCAGGGAACUGAAACAUCUUAGUACCUGCAGGAAGAAAAAGAAAACUCGAUUCCCUGAGUAGCGGCGAGCGAAACGGGAAGAGCCCAAACCAGGAUGCUUGCAUCUUGGGGUUGUAGGACGUUAACAGCACAAGAAAAAGGGCAGCCAAAGGAUCUGGAACGAUCCGCCAGAGCGGGUAAGAGCCCCGUAGGCGAAGGCCGGCAACUUGUUUUAACGGAUCCUGAGUACGGCGGCACACGCGAAAUGCCGUCGGAAACCGGGAGGACCAUCUCCCAAGGCUAAAUACUCCCUAGUGACCGAUAGUGAACCAGUACCGUGAGGGAAAGGUGAAAAGCACCCCGGAAGGGGAGUGAAAGAGAUCCUGAAACCGUGUGCUUACAACAAGUUAGAGCCCGUUAAUGGGUGAUAGCGUGCCUUUUGCAGAAUGAACCGGCGAGUUGCGUUGGCUGGCGAGGUUAAGUCGUAAAAAGACGGAGCCGCAGCGAAAGCGAGUCUGAAAUGGGCGCUUUGAGUCAGUCGACGCAGACCCGAAACCAGGUGAUCUACCCAUGUCCAGGUUGAAGGUGCGGUAAAACGCACUGGAGGACCGAACCCACGUACGUUGAAAAGUGCGGGGAUGAGGUGUGGGUAGCGGAGAAAUUCCAAACGAACUUGGAGAUAGCUGGUUCUCUCCGAAAUAGCUUUAGGGCUAGCGUCGAGGAACGAAUGAUGGAGGUAGAGCACUGUUUGGACGAGGGGCCCCUUUCGGGUUACCGAAUGCAGAUAAACUCCGAAUGCCAUUCAUUUUGCCUCGGCAGUCAGACGGUGAGUGAUAAGAUCCAUCGUCGAAAGGGAAACAGCCCAGACCACCAGCUAAGGCCCCUAAAUGUAUGUUAAGUGGAAAAGGAGGUGGGGUUGCUCAGACAACUAGGAUGUUGGCUCAGAAGCAGCCAUCAUUGAAAGAGUGCGUAAUAGCUCACUAGUCGAGUGACCCUGCGCCGAAAAUUUACCGGGGCUAAACAUACUGCCGAAGCUGUGGAAUGCACCCUUAGGGUGCAUUGGUAGGAGAGCGUUCUAAGGGCAGAGAAGGCAGAUCGUAAGGACUGCUGGAGCGCUUAGAAGUGAGAAUGCCGGUAUGAGUAGCGAAAGACAGGUGAGAAUCCUGUCCACCGUAAGACUAAGGUUUCCUGGGGAAGGCUCGUCCGCCCAGGGUUAGUCGGGACCUAAGCUGAGGCCGAAAGGCGUAGGCGAUGGCCAACAGGUUGAUAUUCCUGUACCUGUUGUCUUCAUUUGAGUGAUGGAGGGACGCAGGAGGCAAAAGAAAGCAGACGAAUGGAAAGGUCUGUCCAAGCAGUGAGUCGGAGAAAGAGUGAAAGGCUUUUUCUUGUCAACGACCAGCUGUGACGGGGAGGGAAAUUUAAGUACCGAAGUUCUGGCGUCACACUGCCAAGAAAAACUUCUAGCAAGAAGGCAAUGGCCCGUACCGCAAACCGACACAGGUAGUCGAGGAGAGUAUCCUCAGGUGAGCGAGCGAACUCUCGUUAAGGAACUCGGCAAAAUGACCCCGUAACUUCGGGAGAAGGGGUGCUGCUCUAACGAGCAGCCGCAGUGAAUAGGCCCAAGCGACUGUUUAUCAAAAACACAGGUCUCUGCAAAAUCGUAAGAUGACGUAUAGGGGCUGACGCCUGCCCGGUGCUGGAAGGUUAAGAGGAGUGCUUAGCGUAAGCGAAGGUACGAAUUGAAGCCCCAGUAAACGGCGGCCGUAACUAUAACGGUCCUAAGGUAGCGAAAUUCCUUGUCGGGUAAGUUCCGACCCGCACGAAAGGCGUAACGAUUUGGGCACUGUCUCAACGAGAGACUCGGUGAAAUUUUAGUACCUGUGAAAAUGCAGGUUACCCGCGACAGGACGGAAAGACCCCAUGGAGCUUUACUGUAAUUUGAUAUUGCGUGUCUGUACCGCAUGUACAGGAUAGGUAGGAGCCGUAGAAUUCGGGACGCGAGUCUCGAAGGAGGCAUCAGUGGGAUACUACCCUUGCGUUAUGGCCACUCUAACCCGCGCCACUCAGCGUGGCGGGAGACAGUGUCAGAUGGGCAGUUUGACUGGGGCGGUCGCCUCCCAAAAGGUAACGGAGGCGCCCCAAGGUUCCCUCAGAAUGGUUGGAAAUCAUUCAACGAGUGUAAAGGCAGAAGGGAGCUUGACUGCGAGACAGACAAGUCGAGCAGGGACGAAAGUCGGGCUUAGUGAUCCGGUGGUUCCGCAUGGAAGGGCCAUCGCUCAACGGAUAAAAGCUACCCUGGGGAUAACAGGCUUAUCUCCCCCAAGAGUCCACAUCGACGGGGAGGUUUGGCACCUCGAUGUCGGCUCGUCGCAUCCUGGGGCUGUAGUCGGUCCCAAGGGUUGGGCUGUUCGCCCAUUAAAGCGGCACGCGAGCUGGGUUCAGAACGUCGUGAGACAGUUCGGUCCCUAUCCGUCGCGGGCGUAGGAAAUUUGCGAGGCGCUGUCCUUAGUACGAGAGGACCGGGAUGGACCUACCGCUGGUGUACCAGUUGUCGUGCCAACGGCAUCGCUGGGUAGCUAUGUAGGGCAGGAAUAAACGCUGAAAGCAUCUAAGCGUGAAGUCCCCCUCAAGAUGAGAUUUCCCCUUUCUUCAAAGAAAGUAAGAUCCCUGAAAGAAGAUCAGGUAGAUAGGUCCGAAGUGGAAGACCCGUGAGGGUUGGAGCGGACGGAUACUAAUCGAUCGAGGACUUAACCACAG
rnacentral:rRNA from 1 species